GAUGAACGCUGGCGGCGUGCCUAAUACAUGCAAGUCGAGCGAACAGACGAGGAGCUUGCUCCUCUGACGUUAGCGGCGGACGGGUGAGUAACACGUGGAUAACCUACCUAUCAGACUGGUAUCACUUCGGGAAACCGGCGCUAAUACCGGAUAAUAUAUUGAACCGCAUGGUUGAAUAGUGAAAUACGGCUUUGCUGUCACUUAUAGAUGGAUCCCCGCCUCAUUAGCUAGUUGGUAAGUUAAAGGCUUACCACGGCAACGAUGCGUGGCCGACCUGAGGGGGUGGUCGGCCGCACUGGAGCUGGGCCGCGGUCCAGGCUCCUACGGGAGGCAGCAGUAGGGAAUCUUCCGCAAUGGGCGAAAGCCUGGCGGAGCAACGCCGCGUGAGUGAUGGCGGUCUUCGGAUCGUAAAACUCUGUUAUUAGGGAAGAACAAAUGUGUAAGUAACUAUGCACGUCUUGACGGUACCUAAUCAGAAAGCCACGGCUAACUACGUG
rnacentral:rRNA from 1 species